rnacentral:rRNA from 1 species
UACGUAGGGUGCGAGCGUUGUCCGGAAUUACUGGGCGUAAAGAGCUCGUAGGUGGUUUGUCGCGUUGUUCGUGAAAUCUCACGGCUUAACUGUGAGCGUGCGGGCGAUACGGGCAGACUGGAGUACUGCAGGGGAGACUGGAAUUCCUGGUGUAGCGGUGGAAUGCGCAGAUAUCAGGAGGAACACCGGUGGCGAAGGCGGGUCUCUGGGCCGAUACUGACGCUGAGGAGCGAAAAGCGUGGGGGAGCG